AGUAUUUCAUCAUUCAGAUCUGAACUUUAUGGGAUUUAUAAUGAUUUUGGUUUGUGAUUUUUUCAGAUAUUGAGUAGAUUAGUUGAAAGCUGAGAAGCAGGAACAAUUAGAGCUCUUGGAAUCGGCAGUAAAUGCUGCUAAUGACUCUUGGGUUUUGAGGGUUCUGGUGAUGAUGGUGUGGUGGUGCUGAUGAGAAAAAAAAGUAAUCUGUUUUAAUUGAAAGAUCUGAGGUGAGUUUGGACUCGUACUUUAAGGAAAUUGAGGUGUGGAAACAAAAGACAAUCUUGAACAGAAGACCAACAGAACUGCACAUUAAGUAGAGAAAAAGCCUGAAAGUACAGAAAAAAAGGUCAUCCUUGGAUUUCAGAACUACAAUGAUAUAACAGUACCUACUGAUAUUCUAAUAUUCAGGCUCAUGAAAUCAUGUAUGCGCUCAUCAUAUCUAUAUAAAGUUACAUUAA